AAAAAAAACAAGAGGUUUAUUUCCUGGACUGUUCAUCCCUUCUGACUCAAGAAUACGCCGAGCACGAGGACAGCAGCUACAGGACACGCGGAGAAGAAAACGGAGUUCUUCCAGUUGCUGAGGCUGCUGUAAGUGGACAGUAGACUGUUGGAUCUGUUUACCUGAUCGCAGCCGCAGCGAGGAUGGUGAGGAAGGAGAUCUUCAGGACCCGGUUGAAAAGCGGUUCAGCCUUUCGACCACACGGUGGCGCUCGAAGCCCUCUCGGCCGCAGCCGCCUGAGCAGCGACCUGCACGGAGAUGAGAAGAACCCGUCGGCUCUAUUUAAACCAACGCUUUCACCAGACAGAGGUUUUUUUUCUUUUUUGAAUGCAGGAGAAUAUAAUAGGCGAUUUCGGCUUUUCAAUGUUGUUUUAAUUAUCUGGGCUCUUUUUGUUUUUCAUUCCCAGGAAGUGCACAAGAAAAAGAAAAAAAAAUCCACAUGCUUAUAAAGUUAUAAUGGCCUGUGUUUCUAUACGAAACACAUUUAAUAUAAAGGUAAGGUCAUCACGCAGCUCCCGAAGACCCCAGAGGAGUGUCCUCCAGUAGGAGUAUUAUGGACUGUUGUGUUAAUGUUGGACCUUUGGAGCCACUUCCUCGUUUACAGAGACCCCCACUUCCCCCACAUGGUCCUCCAGAUUAUAUAAUCUCCUGAUGUUUUUAAUGGUGCUUAUCGGUUUUGUUGUAUUGUAAUUCCAAGAUAAAAACCCUAAAGGUGCCGGCAGCUUUUGUUUUCCUGGGUGUAAUAUCCGGGUUGGGGUUGACAUUACUGUAAACGGCCCAGUGGGAGGAGAGUGGAACCAGCAUGGUAGGCUCCUGGUAUCAACCCUCCGUGUCCUUCACUUGUUCUCAUAUGUGGCUGCUUGUGUGUUGUUUAUUGUUGCUGCUUCAAUGCUAUCCAAUAGUUGUGUUGCUGUCUGUUAUUGUUGUUAGUGCGUCUUCCUUUAAUUGUAAAGUGCACCGAGACCGUGUCUCAUGGUGGUUUUGCACUUUAAAUCAGGGAUCUUCAAUGUUUUUUUUGUUUUUUUUGUUAGGCCAAGGACCCCUUAGCUGAAAGAGAGACGGAGUAGGGACCCCUAUAAAAUUGAGUUGCGUAUUAAGCUAAGCCGGACGGAUGAAAAUGAAUGGAUAUUAAUAUAUUAUUUAUACAUCAUGUUUUAAUGUUAAACAUACAUGUGGAAGGCACAGUGAAUCCUUUGGCUUAACUGAAUACCUUACCUAUAGUAAGCUUAUCUCAAUGUGUAGAUGAAAUGUUAGUUUUUUUCUUCACAAAUAGACCAAUUUAUCUUUGGUAUUUGAAAAUAGAAACUAUAAAAAAUAUAUAUAUAUUUUUAACAUAAUUUGGCGGCCACCUGCACUGACUCUGAGGGCCCCCUAGGCCCUGUUAAAUAUCUCUGCUUUAAAUGAAAUGUGUUUGAUUGAUUGGCUGCCUCUCCCUCCGGCAGCCUGGUGGGCGGAGUUGGGUCAUCCGGGAGAUUCGGCUCACCUGCUCCCCCCCGCUUUUGUUACAACUCUAUAACACCACUCAACAAGAAUUUUUUUUUUUUUCAUUUUUACUUAAACUAAAGGCACUGUUGCAUUGUUUUACGCUUUUUGAUGACUUCCCUUGCAUUUAUAUGUUUUCUAUCACAGGGCAUGUGCAAUAUUUUACAUAUCUUGUGUUGUUGUCAUUUUUCACUGUGUCUUUGAUGUACCACUGUGCUGUCUUGUGGCUAUACGUAUUGUCGAUUGCAGUUCUGUGUACUGUACUAUUGACUAAGCAAAAUUUCCCCCUGGGGACUCGGGACAAUAAAGUAUAUCUUAUCUUAA